rfam:Clostridium sp. CAG:7 genomic scaffold, scf364
UGAAAGUGUUGUCAAGCGACUAUGGGGACUGCGUGCUUGCACGCAAGGAACCAUAGACAUUUGACAACCAAGCCGGUAUGAGUAAGCAGGGCGACAGCCCGGAUUACGAAUGCUGGUGGCAGUUGUGGGAGUGCCAGCGGCACGUAACAACUGACUUACUUUCA